rnacentral:rRNA from 1 species
GACGAACGCUGGCAGCGUGCUUAACACAUGCAAGUCGAACGGAAAGGCCCUGCUUGCAGGGUACUCGAGUGGCGAACGGGUGAGUAACACGUGGGUGAUCUGCCCUGCACUUCGGGAUAAGCCUGGGAAACUGGGUCUAAUACCGGAUAGGAGCCAUUUUUAGUGUGAUGGUUGGAAAGUUUUUUCGGUGUAGGAUGAGCUCGCGGCCUAUCAGCUUGUUGGUGGGGUAAUGGCCUACCAAGGCGGCGACGGGUAGCCGGCCUGAGAGGGUGGACGGCCACAUUGGGACUGAGAUACGGCCCAGACUCCUACGGGAGGCAGCAGUGGGGAAGAUUGCACAAUGGGCGCAAGCCUGAUGCAGCGACGCCGCGUGGGGGAUGACGGCCUUCGGGUUGUAAACUCCUUUCGCUAGGGACGAAGCUUUUUGUGACGGUACCUAGAUAAGAAGCACCGGCUAACUACGUG